GCGACAAGCGGCGAGAGGAAUGCGGGGAGACCGAGGGGCUGCAGGAUGGGGGGUCCGCACGGUGAGAGACCGAGGGGAGAGGAGAGAGGGGGAAAUCGGCUCCAAAAGAGGUGCUGGAGGCGGAGGGGGCGGGGAAGGAGCGCUGCGAGCAUCCCCCCGAUCCCGGCUGGGCACAGAGGGACGGGUCCGUCGGCGCACGCCCGGCAGCGGAGCGGGGCGGCACGGGAGGAUCCGAGCCGCGCCGGGCGGAACCGUUCCGAGCCGUUCCGAGCCUCGCCGCGCCGCGCCGCAUUGCCCGCUCCGCUCGUGCCUCCCCCCGGGGCCGCGAGCCCGGCGUCAGCGAGCAGCCCGAGCCCGGCUCGGUGCGUGUGUGUGCGUGUGCGUGUGCGUGAGCGCGUUUGUCCAUCCCGAGCUGCCGGACUUCAAUAUCUGCUGCUUCCGACUCCCUCCCAGCCUGUUUGUCUUCAUACAGCUUCAAGUGCUGGUGUGGAAUUGUGCCACUUUGUGCACUCACCGUUGAGCAGAGACAGAGCCUAUGGAAACGAGCAGCCCCCAGACAUCAGUCAGACCAGUGUUCCGUUAGCCAUGAAAGUUCUCAGCACAAUGAUUUGAUGAGGCCGUGAUCUCGGAGAGGUAGAAAAUGAGAUGGGUUCUUCGGAUGGAUCAGGAGGAAAUGCUGAAUUGUAAAGAUAAUGGACAAAAUCCAUUCUGAAGGUUUGGCUUUGUCAGUUCGUCACUGGAAAUCUUGACUAAAUGAUCCUUUGGAAGUGCAGAGAAGGUGCUGCUUUAAAGAUCCAGGGCAGGUUUGUGUGGCUACCUGCCUCGGAGCAGAGGGAAGUCUGCCCUCCCCCUGGAUCUGACCACUGACAUUAGGCAUGUGGGGCUGCAUGACCCAGCAGAGAGACCUCAUCCGCCAGCAGGGAAGUAACAAGCCCUCUUGGUCAGAUGCUGUUGCUCUCUGGACUUCUGCCUUUCUAGGUGGGACAGUGUGGCCUCUUUAACCCCAUCACUGGAUCAGUGCUUCCAAAUUAGUGUAAUCAUCCCACUCAAAUUAAGUGAGCAGCUCCUGGCUCCUGGCUCUGCAGCCCAGCCCUGGGCAUCCCCUCUCAGCCUGGCGCCGCAUCCCCCUCUUCCUCCCUCUCCCCCAAAGCCCCCUGCUUGUGGGCUCCUUGAUAUUUUCCAGUCCUUCCCUAAUGAGCACUGCAGAAUUACAGCUAAUUAAGGAUGUAAAUGAUGCUGGAGAGAGAGGGAGAGGGAGAGGAUGGGAAGGGGCGGGGGGAGGGCAGCUACUUGCUGUGUGCAACUCUGCAGUAAAGUGUCUCCUACCUCAGCAGAAAAGUUAUCAUGGGAGACAAUGUCAACUUUAUGGAGGGGGGAGGGCCCUCUCAGUGCCUCAGUCCCCGCCUGUGAGAGCUGCUGCCUCUCUUUUAUGUGUCAGCGCUGCAGAUGCUGAUGUCCUCCCUCCCAAAUGCUGCUUUGUCAGCUGGCGCUGUCACACAGCCCUGGAUCUCUCUCUGCCUCUCACUGCCUUCCUCUCCGUGCCAGGGCACCCAGGGACCUGUCUCCUUCCUUGCAAGGAGGUUUGCCUCUCUUCCUGCCUACAUGUCCUCCACCACACUCAUGGUUUGGAGAGGAUCCAGGACUGGUCCCACUCCAUGAAGGAAUGUUUGUGCUGUGACACAGGUGACACAGGCAGGCCAUGAUGCGUGGGCAGGAGCAGGCCAUGAUGGGGACAUCCACCCGAUACAGCACUGCAGAGGGACUUUGGCUGCUGCACCACCAGGAACACAGCUCUGCUGGGUCCUCUGAGGGCAUCUGGAAGCGCUCUGGGUCCCUGUUGCCGUAUUUCCCUGCACACUGCCUGCAUCAGUGGGUUGUGAAAGCACGUUUGUCCCAGUGCUGAGUCCCGUCCAUCCAUCCUCCAACGGAGAACCACACGUUGUUGGGUCAAGAGCGGGCAGCAAUGGGCAACAACAGCAGUGGUGGUUUUUGUUGUUGUUUCCCCAGAUCGCUGUGCAAUAUAUUCCAAUUUUUUUUCUUGUCAUUAAGCCAGUGCCUCGGAGAUGAUGAUGUAGUCCCUAUGUGGGCCGCAGAAAGCACUUCGAGCCGUGCUGGAGUCGUGCUGGGUGGCUCUGAUAGCAGAGCUAAUGGGAGCGAAUGGGAUGCAACGAACUGUUCUAAUGACACCAGCCAGGGAAGAGACAACAUGCCAAGAGGCAGCUUCUCAGAACGGAUGUUGAAGGAGAAAACCAAGCAUGGCUGGCUGUACAGGACUACUGCCCUGGGAUGAAGCAGGAAUAACUGGAGGUUCCUCCAAUGAUGCCAGUGGAGUGAUAUUGCAAAAGAGUCCCUGCUGGUGGUUUGGGCCUCUUCUGUGGAGUGAGGGUUUGUGCCCUGUCAUCUCCACCUUGCAGAUGAGGAAGCUGAAGCAUGGAGUGGAGCCUUCACCAUCUUCCAUAACAAGGUAUUCUCCUGCACCUUCAGCCUGUUCUUUCCAAACUGUUUCCUGGGAUACUUCAUGCUUACUUGGUCAGCAUUUCCUUUCUCAUGAGGUCACAUUCCCAGCCCUUUCUAAGCCGUGUUUUUAUGGCUCUUAGCUGAUUACAGUUUUAGUGGGGAGGAGGUGGCUGCAAGCGAUGACCUGUGAUUUCCAGGGAAGGGGAGAGCAUGUAAACUUCAAGCAGAGGGGCCUCCUGCUGGGAACAGCCCAUUUUAGAGCCCUUGUGUCAAUGAUGGCCUCCAGGGCACUUCCCACCUCUAUUUAUUUACCCGUGGGAAGCCCAGCAUGCCCCCUCCAGAGCCAAGCAAAUCCCUCCUCCUGGCAAUGGGACAAAGGUCUUUCAGCCUGGACCUGGAAACUUCACAUGGUCUAUUUCCGAGUCAGCAUCAGUAUGUUUAGAAAGCAUGAUCCCAGGUGAAAGGCUGUGAGACUAUAGGACUAUCAUGCAGUGAAGCAGGAGAGCGCACUGCAAGCAGUGAGCAUAGGUCUCAGUGAUUUCCAGUGUAUCCAGCUUUAACUUUUAUCUGGGUAAUGCAGGCUGCUGUGGGCCCUACAGGGUGUUCCAUACACACAGGGCUGUUUCCAACAGCUAUUCCCAACAAAUCCCUUUUAUCCUGGAAUAUUCACUCUUGGAGUCAUUCAGUGAUGUUGCCCUGAAAAGCUCCAUGGAGAGCUAAGCCCAGAAACACCAGCUAUGAGGCAGCAUGCUACGAGCUGAGCUCUCUACAGGAGAGGCACCUGUAUCUGCUAAACACCUCUGGAAUUCAGGAAUAGGCCCCUUUGGGCUGUGCGAUGCCUCCAUUGACCUCAGCAGGCUUAGCGCCAGGGACAAGUUCAGCUCCACGCACUCAUUAACCUCCUUAUCCAGAAGCAUCCUCAGAGCCAGGGGCUGUGUGAGGCGGGCACCUGCAGCAGCAUGGCUUCAGCUGCAGCUCUCUGUGAUGGGAACUUCUACCUGUGCGACACCUGGUGCCAGGAGACAGGAGUGGGUCCUGAUUGCACCCAUGCCUAUGGGAGCAAUGAGUCUCAUCUGUUCUCAUGGCAAGGCCAGGCAAAAAAAAGCAAGGCAAAUAAAGGUAAGGGAAGGCAAGUUCUCUCUCCUCUGUGCAGUCUGGAAACCUUGGGCAGAAGGGGACUUCAGAGAUUAUUGAUGUAUUUGACUCUGAAAUGAGCUUCAUUCUUCUCUUCAGCCUCCUAAUGACAGACACGGGUCUCUGGGCAGUGAAUCAACAACCACAUGUGGAAGUGAGCAAGUGCCAGAUACAAAUAUUGACGUUCCCCUGACAGACACCUCCAUGCUGGGCCUGGGUGAGGGCUGGAGCAGACACUGGGCCCGGGCCUCCCAGCAGGAUUUCCAUCUGCCAGCACAGCUGAAGGUCUGCCCUUGUUUUCUGUCUGGGCCCCAAGGAGAGCUGGUGGCAGUGGUGGUGAUUUGGUGAUGUUGGAAAGGUGCUGGUGGUGCUGCCAGAUACCAUCAGCACAUGUGGUGUAAACAGAUGCAUCUCACCUCAUCAUCGAUAAAAACCAUGCCAUAAAAAUCUGACUGAAACCUGGUUUUUUUCCACACGAACUUUAAAAUGUUUUCAGUUUGGAAAGUGUGAAGGCAAUUCCUUAACAACAAGUUCCUAUGAGAACACAUUGCAAAUUACAUAUCCCAUUAAAAAAUAAAACCUUCACCUUUUACCUUUUUUUGACAGGCAGGAAAAAAAAAUCAACUAAAAAAAUCUUCUACUUUGCAAUGUUUUAAAUCCAGCUGCAGAGUAAGUUUCUAGAAAUUUCCUUCCAUUAGCAAAAAAACCCCUUCAGUCUUCUCAGGACUAUGUAAUGAAACAGAAAUAUAGAGAGCAAAGAGGGAAAAAAAUCGGUGUUCUGGCAGCAUUUUGGAAGAAAACAUAGUAAGUAUAAAUGGAGCCUUUUAAAACUCAUAAGUUCACAGCAUGAUAAGACAGCAUCUUGUUCAGAAGUCAAGUCUCUGAACUAAGAAGUGUAGAAAUCCUCCUCUGCCAUUCACCUCUCUAAUUAGGCAGAGGGAGAUUUCUGGUGAGAGACUCAUUCCUUUAUGGAAAUGGUGGAGGCAUGCCCUCUUGCCAUGUACCAACUUCCAUCAGAGGAGCACAGAAACUGUUGAAAGUGGUGUCUCCUCUUUCUUCUCCUUCUUCCAGAAGACAGAUUAAGUUCUAUAUUUGCACUGUACAAGCGUUAAGAUACUGAGACAAACGUGGGACUGCUUUUGCCUAAGGUCACACUGUAUCAAUUGUCCUGAAAAGAGUCACUCUGCAGCUGCUGUGAGUAGUACAGAAGAGGAAAAUGUGACCCAGCUCUGCUCACUGAAUCCUCUCUAAUGAGAAAAAGCAGUGUAGGAGGAGGCUGGUCCACACUGACUUGUAGUGUUGUGGACCACGAGCUGUUGCAAAAGAAGGAAGAGCAUUACUACUGGGUACUGGUGCCACAAGUUUCUGAGAAGAUACAGCAGUUUGUGGCAAAUCUGUCUUCUGAUCUCAGGGUCACAUGCAAGGAAAUGAGCGAAUGAUGGGAAAGCCAAGAGGGAGAAAAAAAGAGUUAUUCUCCAGUAAGACUGGACACCCUAUCUGGGGUGGCCCUGGAGCAACAAGAACUAACCCCUUUUUCACCCAUUUGCCCUGUGUAUUCCACUCUGCUCCCCUCUUCUCUCACCCUCCCCCAGCUUGCCUUAUAAUUCAGGAAGAGGAGGCUGAGGAGAGUAAUAUUGUGCUGGAGAUAGGACUGGAAGGGCAGUAAUUUAGAAUCAGAGGCUUAUAGUAUUAUUGCCUGCAAAGCCAUUCAUGGGAAAUGAUUCCCCCCCAUCCCCAUUCCUCCCCCCCUGCCCCACUCUCCUUGCUCUGCAAUAACAAUAACAGAAAUGCCUUCAGGAGGCUUUGCUACUCGAAAUGCAGGCAAAGAAGCGCUUUCCUCUACCACCCCUCUUCUUUCCCUUCUCUUCCCUCCGCACUCACUUGUCCCCCCUGCCUCUGAGCCUAACUGCCUCUCCCUCCCUUCUCCCUCCCCCCCACCACAGGAUAAAAAAAUAAAAAUAAUAAUAGGGGUAAUAAGAGAGGAGGUAAUGGAACGUUCUCCAACUGGGCACAUGUCAGAAGCCAUUAUAUGUGGUGCAGAUUUGCAUAAUUCAAGAAGCAUCAAAUUAAAUUUGCAUAAUUCCUUUGAUUACACUUGUUAUUAAAUGUAAGUGACAUUGAUUUACAAAAUGGCCCAAUAUAAGGUUAAUAGCAAAUGUCACCUUCCAGCAGGGUGAAUAGGGUGCGUGUGUGGUGGUGGUGGUGAUGGAGGAGGGAGAAAGGGGGGCCUGGGGAGGAAGGCGAGCAGACAAUUGAUUUCUGCUCCUCUCUUCCUUAAAGGGCUCAGGUCUCCUUUGCAGAAGAGCCCUCAGGUUUGGGCUUCAUGUGACUGCAGUGCAGCCAGGAUCACCUGCCAUGUGGUGUCGAUGCUGUCGAGGCACCCGACUAGAGCCUGGCUUUGCUCACUGCUCUCGUGGGGAGCCAUCAAGCCUGGCUUAGCACCAUGCAGAGGGAGCACAGAAAUCAAAACCUGGAAUGAUAGCCAGAUGUAUAAGAUGCACAGAGACUCACAGCCAGCAGUGAACACCUCUGCAUAUAGAACCUGUGGUGAUACAGACUCUGGGCCACUGAAUGCUGCCAGGGCACCCGGGGGCUGUGACACUGACACCAUGUCUGUUUUGUCAUAGCCCUCAGGCCAUCUGAGCGCUUGCUUUGCAAGUAGAGCCCAUCUCUGUAUAUCGCUCUGCCUCUCUAUAUUCUGUGCAUUUUUCCAGACAGGUGUAAUUUCAUGCUGGGAAACUGACUGCCAAGUUGUGUGAGCACCCCGGGACUGUAAGUGAUAAAACAAAAUUAUGCGUGUAGUGGGAGUGGGCAAACAGCAGAUUUACGCGUUGCAGGCAAUUUCAGUGAUGCACGUAUCUGGCCAUAAUCUUGUUUUGGUUCCACCGAAGCUUUCUUUUUUUGCAAAUCAACAGGCUGGGGGAGGAAAAAAGUCAUCAGUUCUGAUCAAAUUAAAUGUCUUGUUCAAUGUGAAAAAGUAUGCUUAUUUUGGUGACUGAACUCUGUAAACAUUGUCUAAUAGCAUCCAAAUAACAUUAGAAAGGAAAUGUCAUUCUGAACCAGUGAUCAGAGGGCUUUUUCAGGAUUUGUCAAAAGAGAAGGUGAUCAGUUUUCUGGAGUAUUUUUUUUUAGGGCUUCAGUUUUGCUACUUUGAACAGCACAAGCUGCUGAAAAUGCCGUGAAUUCACAGACAGCUCAGAUGUGAAUCUUCCUAAGAAGACGUGUUCUAAGGAGAAGAAUCUGUCAGGCAGCCUGUCUGAGUCUCCAUGAAGGAGGUGCAGACCAUCUUCAGAGUGAGGCCAUGGUGGUUCUCUGCCAGCCAGAGCAAGCUGUGCCGCGGGGACACCGGCCCCCCUUCACUGUGUCCCCCCCUGCUCCUCCCGUGCAAAAGUUAUUGUCGUCUUCGUGGAGUCUCAGCACUGGGGAAGACCUGCUACUUCAGAGCACAGCGUACUUCUUUUGGUCAGGGGAGGGAGACCUGCAGGUAAACUGUCUCUCGCCAUCACCAGACUUCAAAGCAGAGUUCCACACACACCGUGUGGAUUUGCUAUCAAAUCUGUGGCUGAACAAUGCACCAAUCUGCCCUCCCUUUGUGCCCCUGCUGCCUCAAGAAAGAUCUCCUCAGCCAGAAGAGCACUCCCAGGAGGAACAAAACAAGGAGGGGAGAAAGAGAGGAGCGGGAGCUGCGCGGAUGCAUGUGGGGAUGCCGAGAAAUAUGGAUCUCGGCAGGGUAACGAGGCGCAGUGGAAGGAGGAGGCUAUACGUCUUUUCUCAGUAUUUAAACGUGUGCUUAAUAUGGCGCUCAGUGGAAUGGUUAAUCUGCUAAUGCUGGUAGUGUUUGCUGUAGUACUCAGAGAAAUGUUUACUGCAGUAUUUCAUGGCGAUUGUGUUCUGGAUGGCACAAAAGGAGGAAUCGCUCUAGCGUACCAGGAAAAUGUUCAUUGCAAAAUAUACUGGAAUAUUAAGAGGUUUAUUUAGUGGAGUACUUAGUAUAAUAUGAAAAGAGUAUAUAUAUGAAAAAGAGAGUGUUUUAUUAAUGUUUUUGGGGUGUGGAUGAAUUUCGGUGCUCAGGAAGGUUAUGGAGAAGCAAUUCCAGCAAAGGCUGGUUAUAUUCACAGAUUUAUAGAUCUUGAGAGCAUAAAGGACUCUUUGAUCAGCUAAUCUGACCUUCUGUAUAACACAGGUAUAUACAGUGUGGACAUACCUCCUGAUUCAGCAAAGCACUUUAAGCACUUGCUUAAAUUUAAGCGUUUGAGUUGCCCCAUGGAAGGCAGAGAAAAUAACCCUAUUGAAUCAAUGGGACUAUUCAUGCCCUUAAUGGGAAGUGGAUGUUUAGGCAUUUGCUGAAUUGGGACCACAAUAAGAUAAUGCAGCUAAAUGAGUAAUUCAUAGCCACCCAUUUAUUCAACUGCUUUUGCCUCCUUUUCUGCUCGUGGAUUGCUCUGGAGCCAAUCGCCAUUUCCUGCAAUGUAUUCAUUGUCUGAAGUCAUUCACUGAAUAAUUUCAGUGAAAACUCCUUCUUGAUAGCUUGCUCAUAAACAGGUCAUUGUGAAUAUGGGAAUAUAUGCACAUACGUUUUCACAAUGUGUGUGCGUGCUCCCGUGUGUGUGCGAAUGGACUGUGUAAACACACGCGCACGUGCACGCACAAACCCAGGGUCAGCACCUUCAGCCACAACAGGGAAUCCCUUGGAUGUGGCUUUGUGAUUUUUCUCCCACGUUCACUUGGUGCCCUCUGCCUCGCAGCACAUCCCUCGCAGCAAAGUGACCCGCUGGGAAUUUCACAAAAAGGGAAAUAGAAGAAGGCGCACAGUGUGCUGCAGUGAACUCAGCAUAUGAUCGUCCACGUUUGUGUACCCAUGCCAGGCCCUCCAUUCUCUGUCCUUACUCAAUCGGUCAUGAAUCAAAUCUGAUUCAUUUUGAAUGCAUGGCUUAGGGAUUUUUCAAAUCAGCCAGGGCGUAUCUUCUCCAAACAAGGGUGUUUGUGUUUGCAGACUGCCUGUGGCACCGCAUCGGUCAAGUAAGAAGCUCGGUAUUUUUCUGAACAGGAACAAAAUAAAACAGGAACAGGUACCAUGAAUGAGCGGGACACUCGAUGGGUGGAAUUGUGUUUGUGCAGUGGGCAGCUCCAGUUCUCAUGCAGAACUUACUGGGCAUUAUGCAUUACAACGUGGGAAUCAUUCGCUUCUGAUGCAAGCUGCCUGUCAGGUAUUCUUUCUAAAAGUCACACUGCUUUUUAGGAUCUGCUUAUCUUUUCAGGAAAUCAAAGGAAUUACCUUGAUAUUCAAGAGUAAAAUACAAAUUGCCUACAAAUUAAAAACUGAACUUGAUAUUUCCUGCAUUUCAGUUUAUCUUCCUUCCUUCCAGGAUGGCAAAGAGAGCUGUGAUGGAAACCAGGAAGGAGCCAGGCAGUUUUGGUUCCUAUACAGAGCUGGUGGGAUGCUCCACACUCUCUUCUGGGGCUCCUGACAGCUCUGGCACCCAGAAUGGCUUCUGAACAUCCCUCUGUUGCUGCAAGUGCUGGAGCUGAUGUGCUCAGGGUGGAGGGCUGCUCACUGGGACUGAUCACAGAGAAAACCUUCCCUCUUGUCUGCAAGUGGGUGAGAUUAUGUGGAGGAGGUUUGCAUGGAGGAGGCUUAAAGCACGGCUCAUGAUGAGAGCUGACUGUGGCAAGCAUAAGGAGGUGCCACUGAGUACUUGGGUUGUUUCAUUAGGACUUUGAGAAUCAUUACUUUUUCUUCCAUUUGUCCAACUGAGCAUUCAGAGAGUUUUGGCUUUUUCUGGCUAACCUGAGAAGGGUUUUAUUUUCUGAUAUAUUUCAGUAAAGCAGAAGGACACUGUAAGUUGUCCAGGCCAAAUGAGAUACGUCGAUGGCCACUGUCUUUUCUAAAAAAGCAGUUAUUUCACACAGCAAAGGCCAUUUCAACAUGAAAAAUCAAUUGCAAUUAUUCUUUUCCCGAAAUAUAAAAUGAAACCUUUUGACUUUUCAGAAUUAACAUUUCCAUUUAGAUUUUCCCCUGGUGGCGGAUGACUGGCCAAAUUCAGCAUGAGCUAGCCAGCAGCCUGUCAGCUGAAGGCACCGUUUAUUCUGCAAAUAAACUUUAUUCACUGGAGUAAAAAGAGCAGCGGCAAAUCUGACGCCGCGUUCCCAAAAGUUGGGCCGUGGUCGGAUCUGCGAAAAUGAAAUCGAAUGUCAGGAGCCACUCAGGGCCAAACUUCCAGCAAAUAUGGGGUUAGAUGGGACCAGUUGGUGCUCAUCCUACUCUCCUCCUUCCCUUCCCAACAUUGUUUUGGAUGAAAUGCAAAAUCAAAUCCUGCAAGAUGUGAUCAUUUAGGGUACUGUGGCAUAUUUUGAAACAGUAGGGCUGUUAGCCCCAGCAUCUUGGCCAAAUUCCAGGCUGGAUAAUUACAUUCUGCCGGCCUAUAUUCCAGCCUGCAGUUCAAAUAGGGAAGAAAAAAAAAAAGAAGAAAAGAGUUAUCAUUUCUCCUCCAAGAAAUCCUGCUGUGUGAUGACUGAUGCUUCUCCAUCCCAAAAGUGGCUGUGUUUCAGGAAACGUUGCCUCCAUGUUCCUCCACGUCUUGCCCAUUGCUGUGAGGAAGUCUGUCCGGCUCCUUGGUGGGAACAAAGCACAGAGCUGACCAGGAGGGAGCCGGCAUUGCCUUGCACACCUCCUUCAGUGCUCUGUGUCCCUCUCUGCAUGGAACCCCACUACACAGGGCCACAUCCCCACAGCCUGCAGCAGGUCUUUGUGCUGCCAGCGGCCAGGGGUGGGCUGGGGAAGGCACAGAGGGCAGGCCGGCCGCGGUGGGAGAGGGAGGACUCACUUGACCCAUGCCUGUAAUUUGUAAAGAGCAUUUUUACACCAGAUCAAUGCUUUCCUCAGCAUUUUAAUGCACCCCAUUGGUGUCCUUAAACUCUAAUGAUGCAGUCUGUGAGAAGCUGCCAUUUAUUACCCACAGAUGGGGUGAUAAUUAUUGACAAGAUUGUAACUAAUAAUUAAACCCAUUUGCUCCUUUAAACAAGUUGGUGUGAAUUAUUUGCCGGGAGAGCUGUAGCAGGCCUGUGGUCACUCCUCCCCAUGGCUGAGAUGCAGUGCUUCCAGGAGCGGACCCUGCAUGUGGGAUGAAGCACGGCUGUCCUGGGGACUGGGCUGUCCUGGGGACCAGGCUGUCACCUAGGUCCUGGUAGCCUGCACUCCAGCCUGCAGCAGAACCGUGUGGGGGCAGUGCCAAGCUCCUGCCCAGCCCCAUCCUGGGCCUCACAGGGCCAGAGGAAGCACUGUGGUGCCCACAUGGUUGUGGGGCAGUGGUAGAGGAUGAGGGGAUGAGGUGGGGAGAGCAGAGCACAGCAUCGCUCAGAAGUGCUCAGAAGGCCGCCCGGGGGAGCUGCCUUCCCCUGCUGUACGUUUGGAGGGAGGGUGUAAAUCUAAUCUCGGUGCUAGGGUCCAUUAGCAUUAGAGGGGAGUACUGUAUAUGCAUUCAUUCCCCGCUCUCACCCCUGGAUGACAGAGUACCCCCUCUGUUGUCUGCUUUAGCACAUUGGGAGAGGCUAUCCAUUAAUUCUGCAGCACCAGUGGAUAAUGCUGUCGUAAGUCUUAGGUGCCUCUGAAUUUUGUGAGCAUUUUACAGUUAUAAAUACCCCACACUUGUGCAUUUAAUUAGUUGCAUAUCUCGCAGUUGCUCCAUCUGUACUCUGAUCUGUCUGUUUGUUCAUGGAGGUGGGCUGGUUCUUGUGCUCCUGGUCAGCCCCAAGGAAGGAGACCAGGAUGUGGUAGAAGAGGUUUGUGGCAAGAGAGGGAGAGGUGUGACUGUGGAUGUUUGUUGUACUGGAAGAGCAAACCUGAGCUGAGAAGAUCAAUGCAAAGCAACUGUGUUGCCAGAAAUAAGCUUUGGUACAUCCGUAAUGUCGGUGCUGUCUCACCCUCUGCAGUGCCAUGCAUGCAUGUCAAACUGCUCAGGGCCAGGUUUCUGAAGAGGUUACUGUGCUGUUAAAUGUUCUGGCAGCAAUACUUGCCCUGUUCCUGCUCUCUCCCCUUCUAUGUGUACCAUCUUGCACAGGCUAUGAAAUGACAGUACAAACGUACGUCCACAAAAGCUCAUCUGCCUGUCUGACUUUGCUUUCAGCAUUUGUG